UUCAACCCAGGCCAUUCUAUGAUUCUAUGAUUCUAUGAAGCCAAGGUUUCCAAGCCCAAGCCAAUUAUGGAUCUCAUACAACCUCCUCAGUUUAAAUCCUAAUUGAAAGAAGGGUUUGUUGCAAUGCAGUAUGAGUUGUUUGUUUGAGGGUUUUUACAUUUUUUUAAAUUUAGUGGAACAAUGAGAAAAGGAUUGGGUUGCCUGUUUAUAAAAGACUUAAGACCAUAGAACCCCUAAGCCAGAGAAAGGUGCAGGUUGCUGUGCCUGGGGUAGGAAGUACUGUUGCUGCAUCUACUUGCUGCUGCACUCAGGUCAAUAAGACCUGUCUGCCAUCAAAGCAGAGAUAUGUGAGAAAGAGAGAUGGAAUUUCAAAUCAGUAUAAUGUCUGAUAAUACACCUGGCCAAGAGACAAGAAUGUGUUAACUUUUUAACAUUCACAGGCACUCUUUCAAUUUUACUUCCUUUUCCUGCUUUCCUAAAGAGAACGUACAUUUCUUACCACUUUUUAUCAGUGUGUGUCCUGUACAUUUGGCCAGCUGCUCCGAUCAUCACUCAGAUGGGUCAGAGUCAGAUAUCUACUCCUCCAGUAGUAGGAAAUAUAAAGAAAAUGUGUAUUUUGUUCACAGUCCAGUGAUAUGGGCACCUUCAAGAAAUACAGGAAGGUGAUGACAUGAUAUGGCAAUCUUCAGAGGCAGGGAAGAUGUUACACAGCUCCACAGCUAUGUUGGUAGCACUCCUGUUGUGAUCUUCAGAGUCUGUGCCUGAGAAAACUCCUUUCUGGUCUAAAUUGCUGAAUACAGGAAUCUUCCACUAGUAGGUUUGGUUUAAAAUAUGUAUAUAUUUUUUUUUCGACAAAGCUCUUAAUUGACAAAAACCUAAUUGUUUGUUAUAGUAUUCAAUAUCUCCAUAGGAAGUAAGUGCUCCACUAUCACUCGGUUUAUCAGAUCAGACACUGCUCCAACUCCUUUCCUCAGUUUCUUUUCUAUGCCAUUUUCUACUGUUCCAUUGGCUCUCCUUCCUAGUCCUCUUGAUGCCAUACUGCUCACAUUGUCUGAAAUAUCCUUUAAAAUGAAGAGUAAAGCAGUUGCUUUCUCUCCAUUCAACUCCUACUGACCAGACAAGGUUAAUAGAUUUACAGCAGAAAAGAGCCAUUACUCCCCAGCUAAGCUCUCUUCCAAGUGGACAGCUGUGUGUUGUCCAUUGCAGACAAAGAGUAGGAAGAAGCCUUCCCUUUCUGCUCAUAUUAUCAACACUAAGUAACUUCUGGAAGCACCAUACAGAUUGUAUUUUAGUUUAUUUUCCUACUGGAGAAAGCACUGUUUGUUACAUAUUUGUUUUGUAAAUUCCAUUUUGAUUCCAAUUAGAAGGCAAGUUCCUGCAAUUUCCGUCAUAAUUACAAUAAUCUACUUACAGUCAAUAUGAUGAGCACAGACAGAAGAAGCAGCUGUGCUACGUUUGCUUUAUCCUGGAUGGAAGUCUUUAAACAGAUAAGUAUUGGAAAUAGUUCUACAAUCACUCUUUUUGAGACAAUAUCCAUGUGCAGUAGUUACUUGAUGGAUCACAUGCAGUAGUAUCUCUGUAGCAGGGAAGAAACAGUUUAAAAUGUGUCUAUGGAUGUAUGACAAUGAUUAUAAGCAGAGCUCAUUUUUCUGGUUUUGUUGUUUAUGGAGUAGAUGGUAUUGAGAAUGCUUAUGUUUUCUUGGGAAAUGACUUAUAUGGGUAGGCACACAUUAUGGAUUUAUUCACUAUUGAAUUUUAUGCCUGUGUAACUCAAUUGAGUCCAGAGUUAGAGCAAUACAGCAAUAAAUCAGACACUAUUAUUCUUAGCUACAUAUACGGAGUCACAAGCUGAAUUCACUGUGAUAUAACCACAAGUAUGUGUGUGGGAGGGUGCUUUAAAAGAGCCCUUCAGAAAGUGCUAUCAAUCUUUCUGACUGUACUCACCUGGUCUCCACGGCACACUGCAACUGUGUGCUUCAGUGAGUGCUUCUGCAAUAUAUCCUGGCCUCCUUUGGAGCAGAAAAGCUGCUGCAGAAAAAGUAUAAGUAUUCAGUGCUCUCUCUCACUUAUAAUGGCUUCACACUUCAUCAACACAACAUGUCUUAGCUGUAAGAUUGGUAUGAGUUAAAGCAGUGUAACAAAACCAGAAGACAACAUUAGGGAGUGGGGUUGAUCUUAUUUUAUAAACUCUCUAGCCAGAUUCAUUUUAUCCACUUGUGCUUGUUCUCUCGUAGCCUCCUUUCCCUCACACUCUCACCCCUGGUAGUCUCAUCAAGAUUAGUUGUCUGCAAUGUUGGCUGAGAGGCUCUGGCAUUGAGCCUUCACAACUUUUCAGUUCCUCUUGACUGGUGAAGACAAAACAGCUUUCAGAUAGAUCUCACGUGUACUCCAGUGGUUGCAGUUGUUCCAGGGUGGCCCUUUGCUUCAGAACUAUGCAUACUUCAGACUCCACAGAUUUCAGGCAGGGUUGCUGCUUACUGUCUGUAUGAUCUUGUUUGAAAUAUAUUUUUG
ensembl:lncRNA